CCUACGGGUGGCAGCAGUGGGGGAUAUUGCACAAUGGGGGGAACCCUGAUGCAGCGACGCCGCGUGGGUGAAGAAGCGCCUCGGCGCGUAAAGCCCUGUCAGCAGGGAAGAAAAUGACGGUAUCUGAAGAAGAAGCACCGGCUAACUACGUGCCAGCAGCCGCGGUAAUACGUAGGGGGCAAGCGUUAUCCGGAUUUACUGGGUGUAAAGGGGGCGCAGGCGGCGAUGCAAGCCAGGAGUGAAAGCCCGGGGCUCAACCCCGGGACUGCAUUUGGAACUGCGUGGCUGGAGUGCAGGAGGGGCAGGCGGAAUUCCUGGUGUAGCGGUGAAAUGCGUAGAUAUCAGGAGGAACACCGGUGGCGAAGGCGGCCUGCUGGACUGCAACUGACGUUGAGGCCCGAAAGCGUGGGGAGCAAACAGGAUUAGAUACCCUUGUAGUC
rnacentral:rRNA from 1 species